rnacentral:tRNA from 1 species
GUAGAUAUAGUUUAACACAAAACAUUAGAUUGUGGUUCUAAAAACAGAGGUUAAACUCCUCUUAUCCACCG